UACGUAGGGUGCGAGCGUUAAUCGGAAUUACUGGGCGUAAAGCGUGCGCAGGCGGUUUUGUAAGCCAGAUGUGAAAUCCCCGGGCUUAACCUGGGAAUGGCAUUUGGGACUGCAAGGCUUGAGUGCGGCAGAGGAGACUGGAAUUCCUGGUGUAGCAGUGAAAUGCGUAGGUAUCAGGAGGAACACCGAUGGCGAAGGCAGGUCUCUGGGCUGACACUGACGCUCAUGCACGAAAGCGUGGGGAGCGAACAGG
rnacentral:rRNA from 1 species